UUGACCUCAAAUCGGGGUAGACUACCCGCUGAACUUAAGCAUAUCA
rnacentral:rRNA from 1 species